rnacentral:tRNA from 1 species
GCUGGUGUAACUCAGUUGGUAGAGUAGCUGAUUUGUAAUCAGCCUGUCGUAGGUUCGACUCCUAUCACCAGCUCCA